rnacentral:rRNA from 1 species
AGAGUUUGAUCCUGGCUCAGGAUGAACGCUAGCGGCAGGCCUAAUACAUGCAAGUCGAACGGUAACAUGAGUAGCAAUACUUGAUGACGAGUGGCGCACGGGUGCGUAACACGUAUGCAACCUACCUUUAACUGGAAGAUAGCCGCCCGAAAGGGUGAUUAAUACUCCAUAACAUUAUGAAACAGCAUUGUUUUAUAAUUAAAGCUCCGGCGGUUAAAGAUGGGCAUGCGUCUGAUUAGCUAGUUGGCGAGGUAAAAGCUCACCAAGGCUACGAUCAGUAGGGGUUCUGAGAGGAUAUACCCCCACACUGGUACUGAGACACGGACCAGACUCCUACGGGAGGCAGCAGUAAGGAAUAUUGGACAAUGGAGGCAACUCUGAUCCAGCCAUGCCGCGUGAAGGAUGAAGGUGCUAUGCAUUGUAAACUUCUUUUGAACGGGAGAAAACCUUUGGUCGUGUACCGAAGCUGAUAGUACCGUUAGAAUAAGGGUCGGCUAACUUCGUGCCAGCAGCCGCGGUAAUACGAAGGACCCGAGCGUUAUCCGGAUUUAUUGGGUUUAAAGGGUGCGUAGGCGGAAUAGUAAGUCAGUGGUGAAAGCCUGUUGCUUAACAACAGAACUGCCAUUGAUACUACUAAUCUUGAGUACAUAUGAUGUGGGCGGAAUGUGCCAUGUAGCGGUGAAAUGCUUAGAUAUGGCACAGAACACCGAUUGCGAAGGCAGCUCACAAAACUGUUACUGACGCUGAGGCACGAAAGCGUGGGGAUCAAACAGGAUUAGAUACCCUGGUAGUCC